GGGCGAUUAGCUCAGCUGGAUAGAGCAUUGGCCUUCGAAGCCAAGGGUCGGGGGUUCGAACCCCUCAUCGCCCG
rnacentral:tRNA from 1 species